AUAUGCAUUUCAUCGAAAGCCCGAAUAGCCUGCCGUGUGAGACCAGCAGAAAUCAACCUUCUAAUCAGGAUAUAAAAUGUGGUAAAAUUAGGCCUAAGAUUGUUGCUUUCCUGGUCCAUCUGGACAAUGAGUUGCCAAGCAACAUCAAACUGGCGGACUUUGCAGAGACUAUCCACAAGGAGGUUGAAAGCGGUGGUGUCAUGGCAAUAGGAAGGAUGGUGGAACUGACAAUAUUGGAAAAAGGCAAGGGCAACUUUUGAAGAGUGAUGAAGGCGAAGGAGAAUUUGGUGGACUAAGGAGGUUGUGAGAGUGAUUCCAUUGAGCUGGAAAGAGGAUUCUGUGGCGUGGAAAGGGUUGUGGUGUUGGAGAAUGAUUUGGGAUAUUAAAUCAGCAUUUUUUGAUGGUUCAAUUGUUGGAAGUAUGGGUUUGGGCUCAGUCUCCAAGUGCCAUAUUUGCGGUGGUGGUGGUAGCCGCUGUUCAGAGUCAGAAAAUGAAGAAAAAGAAUAAGUAGGCAAGAGUUUGGGGAGAAAAAUGUUCAUCUGCAUUGAAAAGGAUCGGCCCAAAUUCAAAAGUAGUGCCAUUGAAAUAUACUCUUGCCUCUUCUUCUCAUGAGGUGAAUAAAACAACUAUGAUAGUAGUACUACUAGUGAUAACUUCAUCCAUCACCCAUCAGCAUCACCCAAUUAGCAUCACAUCUAAUCAUUCAGGGCAGACAGUCAAACCCAGACAAAUUGAGGACAAAGGCUUGAAGAGAUCAUCUUGAAACUCCCUGAUCACGAUCACCUGAACAUACAGUAAGAUGAAGAAAAAUAAGUGAAUCAAAUCAAGAUGAAAACAACCAGAUGUUUCCAAAUAAGUGGUCAGUUGUUGGUGAGCAAUGCUUCCAAAUGGAUUUGGAGUAGGAACCAUUGUCAACCAGAGCCAUUUGCAUCUAUUUGGUUCGCAAUGGGUUAUACAACAUGAGACGAGUUUUAGAUACCAAUAGACAAAUACAAAUUUGAUAAGUACAACAUUUAGUAUAUACCACAUGAAGUACAUACAUUCAUAAAACUCGACUUUACAUAUUUAAGAUUCCAAUUGUCAACCAGUUUUGGUCAAAAACCUGCAGCAAUGCCGGUGGCCAAUAUUGGGACAGCUUGAAUUUUCAAGUUACAAGAUCAUUCAUAAAAACCCGUCUUCUGAGUCUCAAAGAGCACAUACAACCACAAAAACAGUAAGAGAGAGAGAGAGAGAGAGAACACAUGAAUUUUUAAGGUACUGAAAACUUGCAGGAACAAGAAAUGGAUAACCUUCUACAAUUCAUAAUCUUCAGCUUAGACGUAUAUGAAGAACUAAGAUGUAAAAAGUCAAAAAAAAAAAAGAAAAUAUCACCAAUGAAAAUAAUGAGGGGAAUUAACUGAACCAACAAAGGACGAGCAAACUGAAGAGGCACAGUGCAUUGCAGUUUUGGGUAGACAAUACAGAUUCUCAUUUUGCAAACAUAUCAAGAACUUACCUCUGAGAUUACCAAUAAAGCACUCAUAGAAAACUCGAACUUACCUCUGAGAUUACCAAUAAAGCACUCAUAGAAAACUCGAACUUACCUCUGAGAUUACCAAUAAAGCACUCAUAGAAAACUCUCUUAUAGCCCAAAAGUUUUAAGACUUUAGUCCAUCAAUCAGCUUAAGAAAACCCCUGCAUACAGAAAACACUACUCUUAUCAAGAUGCUCCAAAACGUCUGCUAACACAUUCAUAGGCCAUAAUUCCUAAAAUGGAAAAUGGAGUUACAGUAAUACCGUAUAUUUCAUGCUUUACAAUAUAUGUGAAACAAGAUAUAGAUUUUUAAUCUGAAUAAAGCCUUAACUGAUACCUCCAUUUCAUUCAGGCAUUUUCACAAACAGAUUACAAGCACACACAAAAAGUUUCAUCCUCUAUCAACUACGAAAUUGAAGUUGACCACAAAAUUUCCAACGCAACCAAAAUUUCAGUCAUCUAAGAACGUAAAUGCAAGCAAAUUAGCAGGAGAGGGGAAAAAAAGAGAGAGCAUGGAUUUCAUUUAGUACCAUUUGAAGUUUGAAAGGAGGGGAAAAAUGAAUUUAGAGAUUUCGAGU
rnacentral:lncRNA from 1 species